GAUACAAGGGGAGUUAAAAGCAAAACCAAACAGCAGAUUGUUUUAUUGCUUUUGGGGUUCUUUGCCCACGGCUUACCUGGAGUCCCACUGCCCUUCUGCCAGGUUGGAAAGAUCAAGGCAGGAAGUAUGGGCCGUGGCAUUAAAUCUACAUCCCCGGUCAGGAUUGGGGUGAGGAUGGCUUGGUGGCCUCUUAUUAAAUGAUCUCCCAGUCCUUUUAGUAUGGUGUAGAGGAAAGAGCCAGCACCACUCCUAACUACCUAGGCUGACCUUGGGCGAGAACCUAAUCUUUCCCAGCCUUAAUUGCUCCAUCAGCCAAAUGGAGGCCAAUGUACCCACCUACUGACAGAGCAUCACACUGAGGACCAUAAAGAUCUGUUUAGCCAAAAUUAGUUCCUCCUUCAUGCCGAGCUCACGAACCUAUGGUUAAUGAGGGUCUUAUCAGAACGCUCUUUGGGCUUGAAAGAGAGGCUCUGUUCAAGUCUUGGUGGGAGGAGGGAUAGUCUCCGCAUCCCUAUUUGGGGUAGGUGGGGUUGGGGGCGGUGGUGAAUGGGGCAGUAAACUCCUGCUCGGUCCAUACUCUAACCCAAUAACCGGGAGGCCGGGUGACUGCGACUCCGCGUGCUCACCUGCUGGUCCGCGAGGCUGAGGGAGGGGGCGCCGGGGGCGGGGCCAGAGCGCGGCUGGCCAAUGGGGGAGCGCAUUCGGCGGCCGGCUAAAUUCCCCCUGGAAAGUGAAGGGGGCUGGGGUCGAGGGGAAAGUUCGAAGCUCCGGAGCAGCGGAGGGCUUUGGUGGCGGCCAGAACCAUCCGGGGACAGUUGCAGGCGCAGGGGCAAGAUCGGGGGACCGGAAGACGCCAGCC
rnacentral:lncRNA from 1 species